AUAAAACAUGAUGAACCUAUUACCGCCCCAGUCUGAUUUUUGUGACUGAUAGGUAUUUCUAUUUCUGAUAUUGA